AUACUUACCUGACGCGAGAGGCACCUUGAUCAACUAGGAGGUCCUCUCAGGAUGAGGCCCUUUCAUUGCACUUCGACUGGGUUGACUCCUGCGAUUACCCCCAAUGUGCGUAACUCGAGCGUAUAAUUUCUGGUAGUGGGGACCUGCGUUCGCGCUCGUCCCCU
rnacentral:snRNA from 1 species